rnacentral:sRNA from 1 species
UAGGACUGGGGGCUACAGCAGCUGGUCAAACCCCAGCCUCCUCCUCUCCCUCUGGCUGUAGGAUCCUCUACACCACAUACUACGAGUCCAUCACCAACAGGGGCCCCUUCUUCGGCUACUACUUCUUCAACGGGCUUCUGAUGUUGCUGCAGCUGCUGCACGUGUUCUGGUCUUGCCUCAUUCUGCGCAUGCUCUAUAGCUUCAUGAAGAAGGGCCAGAUGGAGAAGGACAUUCGUAGUGAUGUAGAAGAAUCAGACUCCAGUGAGGAGGCGGCGGCGGCCCAGGAACCUCUGCAGCUAAAGAACGGGGCAGCUGGAGGGCCCAGGCCAGCCCCCACUGAUGGCCCUCGGAGCCGGGGGGCCGGGCGUCUGACCAACAGGCACCCAACAGCCACAUAGCCGGGCGGGGCUGGCUGUAAGGGGUUGCCCCCCCGCCAGCGCCUUGGAUAUUUCUGGGGUGACUGGACUGGCGCCCCUGGGCCACCUUUCUGGAGACAGGGAGGGCCCCACCCGGGGUGGGCUGAUGAUCUGUCUCCAGCCCCUUCCUUCUGCCCACCCGCCCUUCUUCCCUCUGGGCAACUGGACAGAGCUGGGAGCCAGCAGCUGGAUGCUGUGGCUGGCCAGAGACACCUCCAGGCUGUAGCCUGGGGGCUGGGGGGAGCCCCAGGCUGAAAAGGGUCCAAUUAAAACAAAUGGAGCCAAA